ACGGGGUGCAGCAGGCGCGAAAACUUCGCAAUGCGCGCAAGCGCGACGAGGGGAUUCCAAGUGCAUGCACUCAGUGUAUGCUGUUUAUUAGUCUAAAAAGCUUAUAGAGUAAGGGCUGGGUAAGACUGGUGCCAGCCGCCGCGGUAAUACCAGCGGCCCGAGUGGUGAUCGUUAUUAUUGGGCCUAAAGCGUCCGUAGCCGGUUCGGUAAAUCUCUGGGUAAAUCGAUGGGCUUAACCCAUCGAAUUCUGGGGAGACUGCUGGACUUGGGACCGGGAGAGGUCGGAGGUACUCCAGGGGUAGGGGUGAAAUCCUGUAAUCCUUGGGGGACCACCGGUGGCGAAGGCGUCCGACCAGAACGGGUCCGACGGUAAGGGACGAAGCCCUGGGGCGCAAACCGGAUUAGAUACCCGGGUAGUCCAGGGUGUAAACGCUGCGCGCUUGGUGUUGGGGGUCUUACGUGGGCAUCCAGUGCCGGAGAGAAGUUGUUAAGCGCGCCGCCUGGGAGUACGUCGCAAGAC
rnacentral:rRNA from 1 species